rnacentral:rRNA from 1 species
GUCGAGCGGAUGAGAAGAGCUUGCUCUUCGAUUCAGCGGCGGACGGGUGAGUAAUGCCUAGGAAUCUGCCUGGUAGUGGGGGACAACGUUUCGAAAGGAACGCUAAUACCGCAUACGUCCUACGGGAGAAAGCAGGGGACCUUCGGGCCUUGCGCUAUCAGAUGAGCCUAGGUCGGAUUAGCUAGUUGGUGAGGUAAUGGCUCACCAAGGCGACGAUCCGUAACUGGUCUGAGAGGAUGAUCAGUCACACUGGAACUGAGACACGGUCCAGACUCCUACGGGAGGCAGCAGUGGGGAAUAUUGGACAAUGGGCGAAAGCCUGAUCCAGCCAUGCCGCGUGUGUGAAGAAGGUCUUCGGAUUGUAAAGCACUUUAAGUUGGGAGGAAGGGCAUUAACCUAAUACGUUAGUGUUUUGACGUUACCGACAGAAUAAGCACCGGCUAACUCUGUGCCAGCAGCCGCGGUAAUACAGAGGGUGCAAGCGUUAAUCGGAAUUACUGGGCGCAAAGCGCGCGUAGGUGGUUUGUUAAGUUGGAUGUGAAAGCCCCGGGCUCAACCUGGGAACUGCAUCCAAAACUGGCAAGCUAGAGUACGGUAGAGGGUGGUGGAAUUUCCUGUGUAGCGGUGAAAUGCGUAGAUAUAGGAAGGAACACCAGUGGCGAAGGCGACCACCUGGACUGAUACUGACACUGAGGUGCGAAAGCGUGGGGAGC